GAUGGGCCCGCGGCGCAUUAGCUAGUUGGUGAGGUAACGGCUCACCAAGGCGACGAUGCGUAGCCGACCUGAGAGGGUGAUCGGCCACACUGGGACUGAGACACGGCCCAGACUCUUACGGGAGGCAGCAGUAGGGAAUCUUCCGCAAUGGACGAAAGUCUGACGGAGCAACGCCGCGUGAGCGAUGAAGGCCUUCGGGUCGUAAAGCUCUGUUGUUAGGGAAGAACAAGUACCGGAGUAACUGCCGGUACCUUGACGGUACCUAACCAGAAAGCCACGGCUAACUACGUGCCAGCAGCCGCGGUAAUACGUAGGUGGCAAGCGUUGUCCGGAAUUAUUGGGCGUAAAGCGCGCGCAGGCGGUCCUUUAAGUCUGAUGUGAAAGCCCACGGCUCAACCGUGGAGGGUCAUUGGAAACUGGGGGACUUGAGUACAGAAGAGGAAAGCGGAAUUCCACGUGUAGCGGUGAAAUGCGUAGAGAUGUGGAGGAACACCAGUGGCGAAGGCGGCUUUCUGGUCUGUAACUGACGCUGAGGCGCGAAAGCGUGGGGAGCAAACAGGAUUAGAUACCCUGGUAGUCCACGCCGUAAACGAUGAGUGCUAAGUGU
rnacentral:rRNA from 1 species